rnacentral:rRNA from 1 species
AGCAGUAGCCGCGGUAAUACGAGGGGGGCAAGCGUUGUUCGGAAUUAUUCGGCGUAAAGGGUGCGUAGGCGGUUUGACAAGUCUUGUGUGAAAUCUCUGGGCUCAACCCAGAGUCUGCACGGGAAACUGUCGGGCUAGAGGAUGGGAGAGGUGAGUGGAAUUUCCGGUGUAGCGGUGAAAUGCGUAGAGAUGUGGAAGAAUACCGAUGGCGAAGGCAGCCCCCUGGGCCAAUACUGACGCUCAUGCACGAAAGCGUGGGGAGCAAACAGGAUUAGAUACCCCAGUAGUCCCUGUCUCUUAUAC